rnacentral:rRNA from 1 species
UACAGAGGUCCCAAGCGUUGUUCGGAUUCACUGGGCGUAAAGCGUGCGUAGGUGGUUUGUUAAGUCUGAUGUGAAAGCCCUGGGCUCAACCUGGGAAUUGCAUUGGAUACUGGCAGGCUAGAGUGCGGUAGAGGGUAGUGGAAUUCCCGGUGUAGCAGUGAAAUGCGUAGAGAUCGGGAGGAACAUCUGUGGCGAAGGCGACUACCUGGACCAGCACUGACACUGAGGCACGAAAGCGUGGGGAGCAAACAGG